CUUUUUUGCUUCCAUCAAUAUCCAAACCUUGAUGUUUUCUCUUUGAAAUUUGUGGUCACUUGUAAGAAGAUUCUCCAAAACUAGUUAGCAGGACUUGGCUUGGGAAGUACUUGUGUAAAACUUAUUUGAGAUAUCCUAGCUAUCGAAAAAACUUACCUGAGAAAAAAGGAGACUGCCGAUUACGCGGGAAUAAUAGAAACUCCAGAGGGAGCAAAAGCCAGGGCUCUCUGCCUAAUGCUAAUGGGCGUUCAGAAAUUAAGGAUCUUGAACAAGUUCGGAACAAGAGGCAGAAGAAGGCAGACAAAAUUUCUUAUAAGAAGAACAGAGGUUCAAAGAGUAGAAAGUAUAGUAAAAAUGGGAAAAAAAGGGGGCAAAGUUAAGAAGUAAAAGCUGUCAGAUUUGAUCACAUCUUGAGGCACGUCAUCUUUAAGAACAAGGAUGCAGGAACUAUGAAGAAGUUCAAAUUCGGAUUGUUCAUGAUUCUACUCAAGAGGGCCUUUAAGAAGAGAAUUCGAAAGGGGCAUUACGAAAAUUAAUUUUGAUCUCAACGAAUGUCCGUAAGCUAUUUAUAUGGAGAGCAUAGUUUGUUAGCACACUGUUUUCAGGCCAAACGCAACAUUUAGAUUCUCCAACCGUUCAGUUGUUGAGUUUUCCAUGGGUGCCAGGCCUACGAGCCCAAUGGCAGGAGAAGCUCCCCCUAAAGAGCAAUAUGUAAAAUCUUGGCAGGGGCAGACUCUUUGGUAUUUUGAGCUGAAAAUUUUGCACAUACGUUGGGAAAAAUCGAACUCAGCUCUAGAAAAGUCCAAAUUUUGAUCUUGCAAAUGCUAAAUUGUUGCAGAAAGUUAAAAGUAAUCCCAGAUGCGGACUUGUAUAAACCAAUGGAAACUUUGAAGUGGGAAAUUAGAUCGCUUGUUAGCUACCUGUUUGUUUCUGUACUAUAGUUUUGAGUACUCUCUCCUCAUUGUAUUGCUUGUGUAGUAGGGUGAGCACCUACUUUGUGCCUUUUGAUAAUGGAACUUUGAUUUAGGUGAUU